rnacentral:rRNA from 1 species
UGCUGGAGGUAUCAGAAGUGCGAAUGCUGACAUAAGUAACGAUAAAGCGGGUGAAAAGCCCGCUCGCCGGAAGACCAAGGGUUCCUGUCCAACGUUAAUCGGGGCAGGGUGAGUCGACCCCUAAGGCGAGGCCGAAAGGCGUAGUCGAUGGGAAACAGGUUAAUAUUCCUGUACUUGGUGUUACUGCGAAGGGGGGACGGAGAAGGCUAUGUUGGCCGGGCGACGGUUGUCCCGGUUUAAGCGUGUAGGCUGGUUUUCCAGGCAAAUCCGGAAAAUCAAGGCUGAGGCGUGAUGACGAGGCACUACGGUGCUGAAGCAACAAAUGCCCUGCUUCCAGGAAAAGCCUCUAAGCAUCAGGUAACAUCAAAUCGUACCCCAAACCGACACAGGUGGUCAGGUAGAGAAUACCAAGGCGCUUGAGAGAACUCGGGUGAAGGAACUAGGCAAAAUGGUGCCGUAACUUCGGGAGAAGGCACGCUGAUAUGUAGGUGAAGCGACUUGCUCGUGGAGCUGAAAUCAGUCGAAGAUACCAGCUGGCUGCAACUGUUUAUUAAAAACACAGCACUGUGCAAACACGAAAGUGGACGUAUACGGUGUGACGCCUGCCCGGUGCCGGAAGGUUAAUUGAUGGGGUUAGCGCAAGCGAAGCUCUUGAUCGAAGCCCCGGUAAACGGCGGCCGUAACUAUAACGGUCCUAAGGUAGCGAAAUUCCUUGUCGGGUAAGUUCCGACCUGCACGAAUGGCGUAAUGAUGGCCAGGCUGUCUCCACCCGAGACUCAGUGAAAUUGAACUCGCUGUGAAGAUGCAGUGUACCCGCGGCAAGACGGAAAGACCCCGUGAACCUUUACUAUAGCUUGACACUGAACAUUGAGCCUUGAUGUGUAGGAUAGGUGGGAGGCUUUGAAGUGUGGACGCCAGUCUGCAUGGAGCCGACCUUGAAAUACCACCCUUUAAUGUUUGAUGUUCUAACGUUGGCCCCUAAUCGGGGUUGUGGACAGUGUCUGGUGGGUAGUUUGACUGGGGCGGUCUCCUCCUAAAGAGUAACGGAGGAGCACGAAGGUUGGCUAAUCCUGGUCGGACAUCAGGAGGUUAGUGCAAUGGCAUAAGCCAGCUUGACUGCGAGCGUGACGGCGCGAGCAGGUGCGAAAGCAGGUCAUAGUGAUCCGGUGGUUCUGAAUGGAAGGGCCAUCGCUCAACGGAUAAAAGGUACUCCGGGGAUAACAGGCUGAUACCGCCCAAGAGUUCAUAUCGACGGCGGUGUUUGGCACCUCGAUGUCGGCUCAUCACAUCCUGGGGCUGAAGUAGGUCCCAAGGGUAUGGCUGUUCGCCAUUUAAAGUGGUACGCGAGCUGGGUUUAGAACGUCGUGAGACAGUUCGGUCCCUAUCUGCCGUGGGCGCUGGAGAACUGAGGGGGGCUGCUCCUAGUACGAGAGGACCGGAGUGGACGCAUCACUGGUGUUCGGGUUGUCAUGCCAAUGGCACUGCCCGGUAGCUAAAUGCGGAAGAGAUAAGUGCUGAAAGCAUCUAAGCACGAAACUUGCCCCGAGAUGAGUUCUCCCUGACUCCUUGA